rnacentral:rRNA from 1 species
GAUGAACGCUGGCGGCGUGCUUAACACAUGCAAGUCGAACGAAGCACCAUGGACAGAAUUUUUCGGAAGGACGACUAUGGCGACUUAGUGGCGGACGGGUGAGUAACGCGUGGGUAACCUGCCCUGUACUGGGGGACAACAGUUGGAAACGACUGCUAAUACCGCAUAAGCGCACGGCAUCGCAUGAUGCAGUGUGAAAAACUCCGGUGGUACAGGAUGGACCCGCGUCUGAUUAGCUAGUUGGUGAGGUAACGGCUUACCAAGGCAACGAUCAGUAGCCGACUUGAGAGAGUGAUCGGCCACAUUGGGACUGAGACACGGCCCAAACUCCUACGGGAGGCAGCAGUGGGGAAUAUUGCACAAUGGGGGAAACCCUGAUGCAGCGACGCCGCGUGAAGGAAGAAGUAUUUCGGUAUGUAAACUUCUAUCAGCAAGGAAGAAAAUGACGGU